UUGCACAGGUUUGACUACCGAAGGACUGCUGAGCCUGGAUGGAAGAACAAGCAAACGUGCUGAAGUGGAAAAUGCUGUAUGUUGGUGAUGACUUGGUUCUGUGAAACCCUAUUUAAUAAAACUUGGAUGACAAGCUUUGUAAAUGUCUGUAUUCCAUCUCCAAUAAAAAAAAUUACUGAAUA